GCAUAGUCCCGAGGAUCUGCAUGGGCCUUC
rnacentral:piRNA from 1 species